rnacentral:pre_miRNA from 1 species
UUUGAGGGGAAUGUUGUCUGGCUCGAGGCCAUCCUGAAAAUAGUCCCCCCGCCCCUUGGGGGUUUUUGGAUGCCGUCGGACCAGGCUUCAUUCCCCUCAAA